rnacentral:rRNA from 1 species
UCUACGGGUGGCAGCAGUGAGGAAUAUUGGUCAAUGGCCGGAAGGCUGAACCAGCCAAGCCGCGUGAAGGACGAAGGUGCCAAGCAUUGUAAACUUCUUUUGUCAAGGGACAAAAUCAGGCUCGAGAGCCUGACCGAGGGUACUUGAAGAAAAAGCAUCGGCUAACUCCGUGCCAGCAGCCGCGGUAAUACGGAGGAUCCGAGCGUUAUCCGGAUUUAUUGGGUUUAAAGGGAGCGUAGAUGGGUUGUUAAGUCAGUUGUGAAAGUGUGCGGCUCAACCGUAAAAUUGCAAUUGAUACUGGCAGCCUUGAGUACAGUUGAGGUAGGCGGAAUUCGUGGUGUAGCGGUGAAAUGCUUAGAUAUCACGAAGAACUCCGAUUGCGAAGGCAGCCUACUAAACUGCCACUGACAUUGAUGCUCGAAAGUGUGGGUAUCAAACAGGAUUAGAUACCCCAGUAGUC